GAUGAACGCUGGCGGCGUGCCUAAUACAUGCAAGUCGAGCGAACGGACGAGAAGCUUGCUUCUCUGAUGUUAGCGGCGGACGGGUGAGCAACACGUGGAUAACCUACCUAUAAGACUGGGAUAACUUCGGGAAACCGGAGCUAAUACCGGAUAAUAUUUUGAACCGCAUGGUUCAAAAGUGAAAGACGGUCUUGCUGUCACUUAUAGAUGGAUCCGCGCUGCAUUAGCUAGUUGGUAAGGUAACGGCUUACCAAGGCAACGAUGCAUAGCCGACCUGAGAGGGUGAUCGGCCACACUGGAACUGAGACACGGUCCAGACUCCUACGGGAGGCAGCAGUAGGGAAUCUUCCGCAAUGGGCGAAAGCCUGACGGAGCAACGCCGCGUGAGUGAUGAAGGUCUUCGGAUCGUAAAACUCUGUUAUUAGGGAAGAACAUAUGUGUAAGUAACUGUGCACAUCUUGACGGUACCUAAUCAGAAAGCCACGGCUAACUACGUGCCAGCAGCCGCGGUAAUACGUAGGUGGCAAGCGUUAUCCGGAAUUAUUGGGCGUAAAGCGCGCGUAGGCGGUUUUUUAAGUCUGAUGUGAAAGCCCACGGCUCAACCGUGGAGGGUCAUUGGAAACUGGAAAACUUGAGUGCAGAAGAGGAAAGUGGAAUUCCAUGUGUAGCGGUGAAAUGCGCAGAGAUAUGGAGGAACACCAGUGGCGAAGGCGACUUUCUGGUCUGUAACUGACGCUGAUGUGCGAAAGCGUGGGGAUCAAACAGG
rnacentral:rRNA from 1 species